CAUAGGAUAAUUGUGAAGUUUAAAUGAAUUAAUAACUGGCAAGUGCUUAGAACAGUUCCUGGUAUGUAGCAGAUACUAUUUUAAUACAUAUCAAGUUCUACAAAAUUAGCCGGGCGUGGUGGUGCAUGCCUGUAAUCCCAGCCUCUGGGGAGGCUGAGGCAGGAGAAUCGCUUGAACCCCAGAGGCGUAGGUUGUGGUGAGCCGAGAUCCUGCCAUUGCACUCCAGCUUGGGCAACAAGAAUGAAACUCUGUCUCAAAAAAAAAAAAAAAGGCCAGGCGCGGUGGCUCACGCCUGUAAUCCC
rnacentral:lncRNA from 10 species